GACGAACGCGGGCGGCGUGCCUAAUACAUGCAAGUAGAACGCACAGUUUAUACCGUAGCGUGCUACACCAUAAACUGUGAGUUGCGAACGGGUGAGUAACGCGUAGGUAACCUGCCUGGUAGCGGGGGAUAACUAUUGGAAACGAUAGCUAAUACCGCAUAAUAUUAAUUAUUGCAUGAUAAUUGAUUGAAAGAUGCAACUGCAUCACUACCAGAUGGACCUGCGUUGUACUAGCUAGUAGGUGAGGUAACGGCUCACCUAGGCGACGAUACAUAGCCGACCUGAGAGGGUGAUCGGCCACACUGGGACUGAGACACGGCCCAGACUCCUACGGGAGGCAGCAGUAGGGAAUCUUCGGCAAUGGACGAAAGUCUGACCGAGCAACGCCGCGUGAGUGAAGAAGGUUUUCGGAUCGUAAAGCUCUGUUGUAAGAGAAGAACGGGUGUGAGAGUGGAAAGUUCACACUGUGACGGUAUCUUACCAGAAAGGGACGGCUAACUACGUGCCAGCAGACGCGGUAAUACGUAGGUCCCGAGCGUUGUCCGGAUUUAUUGGGCGUAAAGCGAGCGCAGGCGGUUAGAUAAGUCUGAAGUUAAAGGCUGUGGCUUAACCAUAGUACGCUUUGGAAACUGUUUAACUUGAGUGCAGAAGGGGAGAGUGGAAUUCCAUGUGUAGCGGUGAAAUGCGUAGAUAUAUGGAGGAACACCGGUGGCGAAAGCGGCUCUCUGGUCUGUAACUGACGCUGAGGCUCGAAAGCGUGGGGAGCGAACAGG
rnacentral:rRNA from 1 species